AAACUCUUUAAAAACAGAAAUGGGGGUUUAAUGAAAAGUAUGUUUAAUACCUGCUUAAAAGUUGAUAUUUUGAAAAUGUACUUUCAGUUAAUUUCAUCAAUACAGCAAGUCAGUUCCUGACGAGCUAAAACCUAAAAGUGCUAUUUAGACAGGUUGUGAGAGUUUCGACUCUCCAACAUCUCCUACUGAGGGAUCUGGAACCGUGUGUUUUGGUGAGGGGGAGUGCAGGCGAUCAGACUGUCUACUGACCUGAUAAGCCUCUGGAGGGAUUUCCUCUCUGAGGCUGGGGCUGAACCACACACACAUAUAGUAAAUCAGAAUGCUCCCGGCUGAGCAGAUGUAGAAGGCAAAGAGCGGCUUUUGUAGGAGAUGGUUUUUCCUGAGGAGUCUCAGGAAAUAAAGUCUGUACUCCACCUUAUUUAGUAACUGUUUGGUAUUUGCCCCCCAGGUAAGAUUAUUCUGUAUUUCCAUUCUCAGAAAACAGAAGGCUGACUCCCCUCUCCACACAACAGAUGAAUAUCUGUUUUUCUCUUCUCAAAGUCAAUACCCAGCUCCUUAGUUUUGCUGCUGUUGCAGAUUAUUGACUCUGCUCGAUCCAGUAAGCUCGCUCUCUCUAGCCCCUGUGAUUAACCUGAGCAGAGCGGUGUCAUCUGCAGACUUAAUGAUGCUGUUGCUGGGUCGAUAGGGGUACAAUAUAAGCGGAUUGUGAAAGUGAACUCAGCACACACUCUUGUGGAGAACUGAUGUUGAUACUGGGUGCAGUGGAGAUAUAAGAGGCCAUUCUGAUCUUGAUAAGAAGGUCAAGAAAACUGUAUUUACUCAAAAUAUCUUGGUCUGAUGUUAAAAUUUGUUAGAUAAAUUAAACUUUCUUAAGUCACUUAAGGCCAUUAAGAUCUAAUAAGUUAAAAAAAUUAACAUCAAUAGUGGCACAUAAAAAUUAAAUCUCAAUUGCAAUAAUUAAUUUUAACAAUGUUUAUAGUCAAAAUUUACCCCUACCUCACCCUGGUAAAGUUAUAUACACACCUAUACUAAUUUUACAUUACCUGCAUGUUGACCAUAGCAUGGACAUAAGUUUAGCAGGGCAACUAUUUUUACAGAUAUCUGGAAUAUCUGUAAAAAUAAAAUUGUAACAAAUUAGAGGAAAACCAGAAUAACCUUAAAAGAGAGAACAUGGUAAGUAAUUUCAAUCUGACUUAUUAAACUGUACAUUCUAGCAUUAAAAUAUUACUACUUGCAGACAGGGGUCUUGAACAAAAGUUCAUCCAACAUCCCCCAUUUUUUUUCCUGAUGUGUUGCAGUAACAGCUGGACCAUUGCAACACUCUAAAAAGGCAUAUCCAACAGAUGUUACCCUCUAAAAAAAGGAAUUGUUUGACUCCCUUAGUUUGAAACUCAUUUGGGGAGCAUGGCUAAGAAUUUAGGGAGAUACCACAGCUAACAAGAUAUUAAACAUUGGGCAAUAAAAAAAAAAUGUAUGAGACACACUUAUAAGUAAUCUGCCAUCUUUGUCCACUCUGUAAAAAGGCAGCUGUUUAUUGUUAUGUUAAGUCUUACUUCAUAAGGCCACUCAUGACCAUUUAAUGUUUUCAGAUUGUAGUUUUGCAAGUUUUAUUUAGCUUAGAAUCCAUAUUAUAAGAAACUGAAGCCCUUCCCACAUAAAGACAAACAUAUAUUUAGAGAUUUUACAGUGACAGGUUGUUAUUAAAGUGGCGCUAUUCAUAGUUUUUGGCACAGCUCAUAAUAGCAACUUCCUCUGUUGCUCUUUAAAAGCGUCAAGCAGUCGAAACUCUAAUUCAGAUAGGCCAAGCAGUGUGACUAACUGAGUUUGUGUACCCUGCUACCACUCUGUCCAAGUAUGACAUAGCUGGAAGUGAUGAGGAUGAAUCUAUCUUAAGUAGAUUUUAUGAGCCAGUAAAGAUUCAUUGCAACCGCUGAUACUCUGAAACAUAGUGCCUUGCAAAGGUUUUAAACCCUGAGAAUUGAAGGGUUUCAUCACCAAACAACUACAACCUAUUCAAUAAAUCUGAAUAUUAUUGAAACGCUGAUAAAUUUUUCAUCCUUUGAGGAAGGAGUCUGGGUGUCAUCUUCCCCAAACUUCUUUUGGCCUACAUGUAAAAUAUAAUAUGUGGAGGAUCACUGCAUGCCACCCUGAACACAUGGUAGUGGCAGCAUCAUUUUGAAAGUUUUGGCAGCAGAGGCAAGGAAGCUGGUUGGAGUUUAUUAUUUGAAUGAUAUGUGGAAAAUGGAAUGAAAUUCAACCUCUUCUAAUGAAACCAAAUAUUUAUGAUGGAAACUCAGUCAUUCUUUAUGCAAAUGUUCCCCUUUUUAAAUAAAGGUCAGAGUCAGUGACUAUAUAAAACCAGAAAUGUGUCAUACAACUGUUAUAUUUUGUUGUAAUGUUUUCCCUGUGUAAAAUGUAUAACACUUUGCACAUUCAAUAAAAAUACUCAGUUUUGUGAGCUUUUAAAAUUGCAUCUGCUUUGCAAGUAAUCAUCAACUGGGUUUUGUUUAUCUAUACCCAUUAAGAUAUUUUUAUUCUGUAUAAUAUCUGUUUUUGCAUGUGUGCAUAUGUUGAUAGUUAGCCCUGCUGAUUACUGAAGCUUUUCAUGGUUGUCUGGGUUAGUAAAAGACUGUAGCAUAUGUGCAAGCAUGAGGUCACUCACAAGGGCCAAAAUGACUUAAACGGAUGCUGAAUCAUCUAACAUGGGCAAAGAGCAGCAGAGGUGGACCGGAACGCAGAAAAACAGUCAAAACAAAAGUCAACAGUAGGUAAAAACACCAGCUGCCCUCUUUACAAAUAAGAAACUGUUCUUUGAGGUUCACAGCAAGCUAAGGGUCUGUUUAAAUAAUCACAAGAAGUAUUUAAAUUGAGUGAAAGGACCUGAAAGAAGAAAGUUGGCGACGUUAUCUUUGAAGAACAAGUAAAAAGGUUCAAAGCAGGCUCCCACAAGAAGCCCACAAGCAUGUUAUGCAUAGCAUUGCGUUUUUGAUACAAUCUAAAUAUGAAUAGAUUGGCCAAACUAAAUGUUUUUUCUGUGGUGUAAGAUUCUGAAUAUGUGUUGUGUUGCUGGAGCUACAAACACAGAGAGCAGCUGAAUGUAAGUAUGACCAGAUUCUUGCUGCAGGGUAAAUGUCUUUUCCUAAGUUGUUGCAAAGUUCUUCCGUCACCGUUCCAUCAUCCCUUCAUGUUUUUUUUAACUAGGUCAUGGAAAACAGCUAAAGGAAAGUCAAUCAAAGUUGUUUUUUUUUGUUGUUGUUUUUUUAUUAUUUUAUUUUACUAUUUAGGCAGGUGCAAAAUUUUACCUUUGGGAUGAUGUUAAACGACAAAAAUUUGACUGAAUCAUAGAUGACACAUGUAGAAAUCAGGCCGUGAGUAAUGCAAUCUAAAUGGGCAUGUUGAUUUGAUUUUUUCCCACUUUGCAUGCUGUUUAUCUCUAAAUCCUUGAGAAAAUCAGAUUUCCAAGUGGAAUGAAGCCCUUAUUUAUGGGUCAGAUCUUGACCGAUCUCUGUCUAAACAUAUAAAUAGUUAUAUUGAGUGAAUUAGGACAUGGGUUCUGAUGAGACUCAUUUGUCAAAUUCAAAGCAACUUUUGAAAAUAAACGUUCAGAAGGCAUUAAAAAAUAUCAUUAAGACUACAUUUCACUAUUAAAAACGUUUUUUAUUGGUCUGUUGCGCAAUAUUCUAAUCUUAAAUUAUGCAUUUUCAGAAAAUUAUAACUAAUAAAAAUAAAGGGCUUAGAAUCAUCAAUCUUUGCGUAAAUAAUAUAAUAUCUUUCAUUUCAUAAAAUAAGCUACUAAAAUAUAAACAUCUCAAUUAUAGUAUAUUUCAUUAGGUAACUAGUUAAAGGAGCUAAAACCAAAAAUGUAUUUGGAAUGCUGAUCAACCAGUGUGCAACUUCAAGAGAGAAAUAUUUUACACAAUUCUAAAUAUUUGAAUUUAAUGUAAAAGACCACCACAAAGUAAUGCAUAACUAUGAAAGCUAAAAAGUGGGAAACUUUGCAAGGCACUACAGGUGAGAGUUCAUCUUACAAACAGUGAAAGUUUGCAUAGGUUAUCAGAAGUUUUUCCAGAAAGAAACAGUCUAUAACAAAUGUCACCAAAUAGUUGAAGCCAGUGGACUUGGGAAAAACCAUUAAAGAACCUCAAGACAAAUUGCAGAUAGACAAGUCAAUUAGAUCAUUUUAAAGGGAGGCAGUAAGAAAGUGUUUGAGUAUGAAGUAAGUAUGGAGACGAGAAAGAAUGCUUUGUGAGCCUCUUUUUCUACCAGACUGCUAGUUUAACUGCCAACAAUGCAUCUGUUCCUGAACACAGCAGUAAGUAUGGAAAAUCCCCUGGCAGAAAGAUUCUCAAUCAGAGCGAGAUAAACACACAUGACUGGAAACUAGGACAUGAACUCUGUUUGCCCUCCUAGGUAACUCUGACCUGUGCCUCUAAGGUUUAUCCCCACAUAUGAACGGGGUCAUUUUCAUCCAUCAGAUCCUCUCAUGCUUCCCUUCUGUUUUUGUUUUCAUUCCGCAGAAGCAAAGGGCUCCUUAUGCCACAUUCAAGAAUUUUAAACUAAUCAAUAAUCCCCUAAUGGCUUUGGUUAUUGAGGUGCAGGCCAGUUUCUAAUUUUAUUUUUGCUUUUCCUAUAGUCACCAUUUCACUCAGCACUCACUCUUGUGAGGCCCCGAAGCAGGAGAAGACGAGAGACGGAAAGGAUUUUAUGGGAAAAUGAUGUUUUCCAAACUUUGACCUCAAUUUUUUUUUUCUUCUCUUUGUAAAGUACCUUGUGUUGUGACCCAGUCAUUUUUUCCAUGCUACUUUCUGCUUCUAAUUUUCCAUGUGGAGAUGUGCUUGGACAGACAAUGGAAUAUAUCAGGCAAGAGGGGUGAAUGGAUGCUGAUAGAUUCUAGCAAAAAAAAUGACAGAAAGACGUCUACUCUCUCCAGUAUGAUCUCAUCGUGUGUGACAUACGAAGUCUGGCGAGACACGUUUGCUAUGUUUAUUAAAUCUGAGCAUAUAUUGAAGUUUUAGAUUUUUAGUCAGUGUUUAUAUUCUUCUCUCUGCUGUCGGUGCCCUUGGAUGUUAAAGGUAACAAGAGUUGAUGUUCCACCACAUCCCACCUGUCCAAAAACAUAUCAUUGCAAUUCUAUUCACUUUGGGGCACACGGUUCCGAUGACAUCAGCUGCAUGACCGCACCAGGCAGUUUUCUGAUGGCCAACACUGGAAGGUUUAGUCGGGAAGGUGCAGCUUCAUUUGGUCUUCAUCAAGCGUAACCAGGAGGUGCAUUUAGAGGUGCAGGUUCUCCAUGACUCCAGAUGGUUCUCUCACCUCCAGUUGUAACCCAGCUUCAGCUUAAUCAUUGUUUUCUACCAAUCUCAGUUUGAGUACUUGUCUUCCUCCUGCAGUCUGUCCUAAUUUGAUUAACCUCUUCCUGGAUUCCUGGAUCGUCCUCCUGUGCCACUGAUCUCACCUGGGUAAGUUGCAGUCAGUCCAUGUCCUCCUGGGAUCUGACUCAUGCUUCACUGAUUUCUCCAGGCUCAUCUUUGCCUGUCCCACAGCGCUUCUUGGAUUGUCUCAUUGUAUCAUUGCUCUGAAUCCCUACUCGUUUGUCCACUCUCCACUGCCUUACCUGCCGCUUCUUUUCCUGGAAACACCAACAAGUAACCAAUAUUGACAGAACUACUCACCUGCUUUCAACCAAUCUCAGCUUUAGUGGAAAUAUAUACCAUCUUCAUGAUCAGCAGCAAGCCCAGCUCUUACUCUUCCUCAGCCUGCACAUCUUCCAUUAUUCUGCACACCCAUAUUAAUCAAUUACUCUCAAUGUGGACCCAGCUGGUUUCCCUUUCCUGCCACCGUUUCCACAGCUAGAUCCUGUUAUGCUCAUAAUAAACUCUUUUCACUUA